rnacentral:rRNA from 1 species
GAUGAACGCUGGCGGCGUGCCUAAUACAUGCAAGUCGAGCGAACAGAUAAGGAGCUUGCUCCUUUGACGUUAGCGGCGGACGGGUGAGUAACACGUGGGUAACCUACCUAUAAGACUGGGAUAACUUCGGGAAACCGGAGCUAAUACCGGAUAAUAUUUCGAACCGCAUGGUUCGAUAGUGAAAGUUGGUUUUGCUAUCACUUAUAGAUGGACCCGCGCCGUAUUAGCUAGUUGGUAAGGUAACGGCUUACCAAGGCGACGAUACGUAGCCGACCUGAGAGGGUGAUCGGCCACACUGGAAGUGAGACACGGUCCAGACUCCGACGGGAGGCAGCAGUAGGGAAUCUUCCGCAAUGGGCGAAAGCCUGACGGAGCAACGCCGCGUGAGUGAUGAAGGUCUUCGGAUCGUAAAACUCUGUUAUUAGGGAAGAACAUACGUGUAAGUAACUGUGCACGUCUUGACGGUACCUAAUCAGAAAGCCACGGCUAACUACGUG